GUUCUAGAAUCCAUGCUGCCACUCUGAAUUUCAAGCUGGAUAGUUUUGAUUCAUCAGGCACAAGGAAGAGAUGGAACAGAAGGAAGAUAUGGAUUAAAACCAGAUAUGUCACUUGUGCAUCACCCUCUGCACUGUUGAAAAGGAUAUGCUCAGGAGGACCAUCUCACGAUCUACACCUCUGCUCUCCCAUUGUCUGCCUGCAUAGCCUACAUACAGUGCCCACAGCCACUGUGGGGCAGAGUGGGAAAGAGAGAAAGCCUUGAUGCUGUGCAAGUUCAGUGCAUCCCACCCAGAACUGCUGCUGCCCCGUGGCACCCAGGCAGGGCAAGUAGAACAGUCCCAGUGACAGCCAGCAGCCAGUGGCUACCAGACAGCUGUGAUGGGCAACAGAGCCUCAGCAUCACACCAGAAAGUCAACUCAGUGUGUCUGGGUUAUUUCAGCAAGACUUGCACAACAUUAUGGUAGCCUGAUCAUCAGCAGACUCACAAGCAGGGUCAGAAGACUCUGAUCUUUACCAGGAGUGGACAUGGUAAUUCUAGAGGAGGCCAUCAGAUGAGGAUUUUCAGAUUUCGAGUCUUGCUGCUGUAUCCCUGACACCUUACAUUUUUUAAAAGAGACAGAAAGAUUCCUGAAACCAUCAAGAGUUUUCAACCAAGUUUUUUAAUAGAAAUGUCAAGGCAAAAUCAUCUAUUCAGGAUUGACAGAGUAAGUGUAAGUCCUUUCAUUAAAAGAAAUGCCAUCAAUCUGAGGUAUUAGCAGCAUUACUUUAUAAGUGUACUUUAUUAUCCUCCCAAAUAAAGCUUUAAUCAGUUUGAAUCUAGGGAUCAUAGCACUUUCUGUAGCAAAGAUUGCCAGACUAAAAUUUAUGGGAACUUAAAGGGCUGUGAGGGAGGAAGUGUAGCCUUGUGUGACUCCUAGGAGUCUGGGGUGGGAGAAAUCUGGCCCCAAGCUGCUGGGAUUCAGCAAAUGACAAUGGGGCCUUCAACAGAAGGGUUACAGACUUUAUGCACUGAGCAGAGCAGGAAGAAUGAA